rnacentral:tRNA from 1 species
GGCCUCGUGGCUUAGUUAGGUAAAGCAACGGACUCUUAAUCCGUCGAUCAGGGGUUCAAAUCCCCUCGAGGUCACCA